rnacentral:rRNA from 1 species
AGUGAACGCUGGCGGUAGGCCUAACACAUGCAAGUCGAACGGCAGCACAGUAAGAGCUUGCUCUUACGGGUGGCGAGUGGCGGACGGGUGAGGGAUACAUCGGAAUCUACUUUUUCGUGGGGGCUAACGUAGGGACAAUUACGCUAAUACCGCAUACGACCUACGGGUGAAAGCAGGGGAUCUUCGGCCCUCGCGCGAUUGAAUGAGCCGAUGUCGGAUUAGUUAGUUGGCGGGGUAAAGGCCCACCAAGGCGACGAUCCGUAGCUGGUCUGAGAGGAUGAUCAGCCACACUGGAACUGAGACACGGUCCAGACUCCUACGGGAGGCAGCAGUGGGGAAUAUUGGACAAUGGGCGAAAGCCUGAUCCAGCCAUACCGCGUGGGUGAAGAAGGCCUUCGGGUUGUAAAGCCCUUUUGUUGGGAAAGAAAAGCAGCAGGUUAAUACCCCGCUGUUCUGACGGUACCCAAAGAAUAAGCACCGGCUAACUUCGUG